UCUGGCUCAGGAUGAACGCUAGCUACAGGCUUAACACAUGCAAGUCGAGGGGUAGCAGGGUAGCAAUACCGCUGACGACCGGCGCACGGGUGAGUAACACGUAUCCAACCUUCCCAUAACUCAGGGAUAGCCUUUCGAAAGAAAGAUUAAUACCUGAUAGUACUUUUUCAAGGCAUCUUGAGAAAGUUAAAGAUUUAUUGGUUAUGGAUGGGGAUGCGUUCCAUUAGAUAGUUGGUGAGGUAACGGCUCACCAAGUCUUCGAUGGAUAGGGGUUCUGAGAGGAAGGUCCCCCACAUUGGUACUGAGACACGGACCAAACUCCUACGGGAGGCAGCAGUGAGGAAUAUUGGUCAAUGGGCGAGAGCCUGAACCAGCCAAGUAGCGUGAAGGAAUGAAGGUCCUAUGGAUUGUAAACUUCUUUUAUAGUAGAAUAAAGUGAUCCACGUGUGGAUUUUUGUAUGUAUACUAUGAAUAAGGAUCGGCUAACUCCGUGCCAGCCGCGGC
rnacentral:rRNA from 1 species